rnacentral:lncRNA from 1 species
UGUUCCCAACAUUCAAUUGGCUCACCUCCCUGCGUAGACAUUCUCCAUAUAAAUAAGGAGAAUGCCCCUCCCUCUCUCUCUCCCCCUCUUCUCUUUCUGUCACCACCUUCUCUCUCUUUCCCCAAAAAACCCUCUUCCAUGUGGAACUGCCUUGGCCUAGUGUGCUAUUGAGACUCGACCCGCCAUUCUAACACAUCAAAUAUGACAUGACCAAGUAAGCCUUACUCUAUCUGACUGGGCUGCACGCUAGCCUGGGGUAUGGAAACCACAUGCAAGGAGGCAAGACUCACAAAGGCGGUGUGUGUUAAACUGCCCUGUGGGUUCCAAGAUGGCGGCAACAAGCCAAGUGCAUCUAACCUGUACUUGACAUGUAUUCUCCUUGGAAUCAAAGCACCGAAUGUCAUCUCCAAACUGCCACCUUCGACGUGAAGUAGGAAUAUCCAUAAUACAGCAGCGAUGUCUACUCAUGGUCCAGUGAGACCACAGAGGGAUUACGGCCUUGGGAAGAGUGUGAACUGAGCCCUGAUGUGUGGCUGGCCUCUGCCAGGUAUGAAGCUAAUCAGUUAGGAAGGUCUGAGAUGAAGCUGUGUGUGGUAAUGCCUGACUAGUAUCCCAGCACUUCAACGCUGAGGCGGAAAGUUCACGGUGAGUUCAAGGCCAGCAUGAACUACAGAGAGUGAUCCUGUCUCAAGAACAAAACAAAAACAUCCAACCAACCAAAGGAAAGGAAGAAAAAGGAACAAAAGAGGGUCGCCUUUGUUGAAAGCACACACAUUGUCUCCAACAGAUUCUAUGAUCCCCGCCACAUCAGAGCCCGGAGUGUUAGGGUACGGCAGGUUUUCAACUGUAGGGUUGGACUUUGAUUAGGACCUGAUGGCUCUGUGGAACAGGAGCGACCACAUAGGACUGGGUCUUCAGCACUUCCGGUCCACCAAAUUCAAACACUCGAAUAGCCCUCAUCAACUUCUGUCCACUUAACCAUGGCGAUCUAGAGGCCUCCUCUAGAGUAAGAAUCAAACCCAAGCUCCGGAAGUUCCGUCAGAAAAGAGAUGGGCCAGCUUUUCCUGACUUUGCAAAAGGCUCCACCUCACGGGACUCGGGAGACAAAGGCAGGCAGAUUUCUGUGUUAGAGGCCAGAUUGGUCUACAGAGUGAGUUUCAGGACAGCCAGGGUUGCAUAGAGAAACACUGUCUAGAUAAACGAACAAACAAACAAACAAACUGAUGCAUCAAGACCCAGCUCACUUUGGGAGUCACCAUUCCCUAGGCACAGGGUCCUGCCCUGUGUAAGACUGGAGGGCUCUUAACUGAGAGCGAGCAAGGAAGCAGGAUACUUCAACCAGAAGCAACUGGGAAAGAAGAGGGAUGUGUUUCAGCUCACAAAGCCACAGUCCAUCACUGGGGGAACUUAAGGCAAGGACUCCUGCAGAAGCGCUAGAAAAUCUCUGGCUUGAUCAUUUCUCUGAGUAACCUUGGUUGUCCUGUAGAUGAGGCUGGCCUCAAACUCAGUAAAGACAAGCUCCAUGGUCAGCGAAGGUGGGCAAUGCAAAAAGAACCCAGUGGAAACAAACGGGCUUCUAAGGGACAAUGAUUCAAUAUAAUAUAAUAAAAAUAAUACAAUAAACAUAAUAUAG